UACGUAGGUGGCAAGCGUUGUCCGGAAUUAUUGGGCGUAAAGCGCACGCAGGCGGUUCGGUAAGUCGGAUGUGAAAGCCCACGGCUCAACAGUGGAGGGUCAUUGGAAACUGGGGAACUUGAGUGCAGAAGAGGAAAGCGGAAUUCCACGUGUAGCGGUGAAAUGCGUAGAGAUGUGGAGGAACACCAGUGGCGAAGGAGGCUUUCUGGUCUGUAACUGACGCUGAGGCGCGAAAACGUGGGGAGCAAACAGG
rnacentral:misc_RNA from 1 species